CAAGUCGAGCGAGAUCUUCGGGUCUAGCGGCGGACGGGUGAGUAACGCGUGGGAAUGUGCCCUUCUCUACGGAAUAGCCUCGGGAAACUGGGAGUAAUACCGUAUACGCCCUUUGGGGGAAAGAUUUAUCGGAGAAGGAUCAGCCCGCGUUGGAUUAGGUAGUUGGUGGGGUAAUGGCCUACCAAGCCUACGAUCCAUAGCUGGUUUGAGAGGAUGAUCAGCCACACUGGGACUGAGACACGGCCCAGACUCCUACGGGAGGCAGCAGUGGGGAAUCUUAGACAAUGGGGGCAACCCUGAUCUAGCCAUGCCGCGUGAGUGAUGAAGGCCUUAGGGUUGUAAAGCUCUUUCAGCUGGGAAGAUAAUGACGGUACCAGCAGAAGAAGCCCCGGCUAACUCCGUGCCAGCAGCCGCGGUAAUACGGAGGGGGCUAGCGUUGUUCGGAAUUACUGGGCGUAAAGCGCACGUAGGCGGACCAGAAAGUUGGGGGUGAAAUCCCGGGGCUCAACCUCGGAACUGCCUUCAAAACUAUUGGUCUGGAGUUCGAGAGAGGUGAGUGGAAUUCCGAGUGUAGAGGUGAAAUUCGUAGAUAUUCGGAGGAACACCAGUGGCGAAGGCGGCUCACUGGCUCGAUACUGACG
rnacentral:rRNA from 1 species